rnacentral:rRNA from 1 species
AACGAACGCUGGCGGCAUGCCUAACACAUGCAAGUCGAACGAAGGCUUCGGCCUUAGUGGCGCACGGGUGCGUAACGCGUGGGAACCUGCCCCUCGGUUCGGAAUAACAGUUAGAAAUGACUGCUAAUACCGGAUGAUGACUUCGGUCCAAAGAUUUAUCGCCGAGGGAUGGGCCCGCGUAGGAUUAGCUAGUUGGUGAGGUAAUGGCUCACCAAGGCGACGAUCCUUAGCUGGUCUGAGAGGAUGAUCAGCCACACUGGGACUGAGACACGGCCCAGACUCCUACGGGAGGCAGCAGUGGGGAAUAUUGGACAAUGGGCGAAAGCCUGAUCCAGCAAUGCCGCGUGAGUGAUGAAGGCCUUAGGGUUGUAAAGCUCUUUUACCCGGGAUGAUAAUGACAGUACCGGGAGAAUAAGCUCCGGCUAACUCCGUGCCAGCCGCCGCAGUAAAAC